GAGGGCUGGCGCAGCCUGAUCAGCCAUGCCGCGUGUGUGAAGAAGGCCUUCGGGUUGUAAAGCACUUUAAGCCGGGAGGAAGGUACUUUUAUUAAUACUUUGGGGUUUUGACGGUACCGCAAAAAUAAGGACCGGCUAACUUCGUGCCAGCAGCCGCGGUAAUACCAAAGGUGCAAGCGUUAAUCGGAAUUACUGGGCGUAAAGCGGGCGCAGGGGGUUUUUUAAGAUCGAUGUGAAAUCCCCGGGCUUAACCUGGGAACUGCAUUGCAAACUGGCCGGCUAGAGUGUGGCAGAGGGGGGUGGAAUUUCCUGUGUAGCGGUGAAAUGCGUAAAUAUAUGAAGGAAUACCGAUGGCGAAGGCAACCCCCUGGGAUAACACUGACACUCAUGCGCAAAAGCGUGGGGAGCAAACAGGAUUAUAUACCCUGGGAGUCCCCGCCCUAAACAAUGUCUACUAUAUGUUGGGGAUUCUUUUCCUUUUUAACGUAGCUAAUACGUGAAUUUGAACACCUGGGGAGGAACGCCGCCACAUUAAAACUCCUAAGGUUUUUUUGGGGG
rnacentral:rRNA from 1 species